rnacentral:rRNA from 1 species
UGGGGAAUUUUGGACAAUGGGCGCAAGCCUGAUCCAGCCAUGCCGCGUGCGGGAAGAAGGCCUUCGGGUUGUAAACCGCUUUUGUCAGGGAAGAAAUCUUCUGAGUUAAUACCUCGGGAGGAUGACGGUACCUGAAGAAUAAGCACCGGCUAACUACGUGCCAGCAGCCGCGGUAAUACGUAGGGUGCAAGCGUUAAUCGGAAUUACUGGGCGUAAAGCGUGCGCAGGCGGUUUUGUAAGACAGAGGUGAAAUCCCCGGGCUCAACCUGGGAACUGCCUUUGUGACUGCAAGGCUUGAGUGCGGCGGAGGGGGAUGGAAUUCCGCGUGUAGCAGUGAAAUGCGUAGAUAUGCGGAGGAACACCGAUGGCGAAGGCAAUCCCCUGGGCCUGCACUGACGCUCAUGCACGAAAGCGUGGGGAGCAAACAGGAUUAGAUACCCUGGUAGUCCACGCCCUAAACGAUGUCAACUGGUUGUUGGGAAGGUUCCUUCUCAGUAACGUAGCUAACGCGUGAAGUUGACCGCCUGGGGAGUACGGCCGCAAGGUUGAAACUCAAAUGAAUUGACGGGGU